rnacentral:rRNA from 1 species
UUCGCAAUGCCCGAAAGGGUGAACGAGCGACGCCGCGUGCGGGAUGAAGGGUUUCGGCUUGUAAACCGCUUUUCUUUGGGAAGAAGGUCUGUCUCGUGCAGAUGGGCUCGGCGGUACCAGAGGAAUAAGCCUCGGCUAACUCCGUGCCAGCAGCCGCGGUAAGACGGAGGAGGCAAGCGUGGUUCGGAAUCACUGGGCAUAAAGAGCACGUAGGCGGUUGAGCAAGUCCAUUGUGAAAUCCCCCGGCUUAACCGGGGAACUGCAGUGGAUACUACUUGACUUGAGUGCAGGAGGGGAGAGUGGAAUUCCAGGUGGAGCGGUGAAAUGCGUAGAUAUCCGGAGGAACGCCGGUGGCGAAAGCGACUCUCUGGUAUGUAACUGACGCUGAGGUGCGAAAGCUAGGGGAGCAAACGGGAUUAGAUACCCCGGUAGUCCUAGCCCUAAACGAUGGGCACUAAGUAGAGGGGUUUU